AGAGUUGAUCAUGGCUCAGAACGAACGCUGGCGGCAUGGAUUAGGCAUGCAAGUCGAACGGGAGCAGCAAUGCUCCAGUGGCGCAAGGGUGAGGAACACGUGAACAACCUGCCUUCGAGUUGGGGAUAGCUUCUGGAAACGGGAGAUAAUACCGAAUAACAUCAACCGGUCGCAUGACUGGUUGAUCAAAGCAGCAAUGCGCUUGAAGAGGGGUUCGCGUCCCAUUAGCUAGUUGGUGAGGUAACGGCCCACCAAGGCGAUGAUGGGUAGCUGGUCUGAGAGGACGAUCAGCCACAUUGGGACUGAGAUACUGCUCAGACUCCUACGGGAGGCAGCAGUGAGGAAUAUUGGGCAAUGGAGGCAACUCUGACCCAGCCAUGCCGCGUGAGUGAAGAAGGUUUUCGAAUUGUAAAGCUCUUUCGGGUGUGACGAUGAUGACGGUAACACCUAAAGAAGCCCCGGCAAACUUCGUGCCAGCCGCGGC
rnacentral:rRNA from 1 species